UGGGGAAUAUUGCACAAUGGGCGCAAGCCUGAUGCAGCCAUGCCGCGUGUAUGAAGAAGGCCUUCGGGUUGUAAAGUACUUUCAGCGGGGAGGAAGGGAGUAAAGUUAAUACCUUUGCUCAUUGACGUUACCGACAGAAGAAGCACCGGCUAACUCCGUGCCAGCAGCCGCGGUAAUACGGAGGGUGCAAGCGUUAAUCGGAAUUACUGGGCGUAAAGCGCACGCAGGCGGUUGAUUGAGUCAGAUGUGAAAUCCCCGGGCUUAACCCGGGAAUUGCAUCUGAUACUGGUCAGCUAGAGUCUUGUAGAGGGGGGUAGAAUUCCAUGUGUAGCGAUGAAAUGCGUAGAGAUGUGGAGGAAUACCGGUGGCGAAGGCGGCCCCCUGGACAAAGACUGACGCUCAGGUGCGAAAGCGUGGGGAGCAAACAGG
rnacentral:rRNA from 1 species